GGAGGCUUGGUAGAGCGGUCAAUUGCACUGGUUUUGAAAGCCAGCGGACGGCAACGUCCCGAGGGUUCGAAUCCCUCAGCCUCCGCCA
rnacentral:tRNA from 1 species